AACGCUAGCUACAGGCUUAACACAUGCAAGUCGAGGGGCAGCAUGAACUUAGCUUGCUAAGUUCGAUGGCGACCGGCGCACGGGUGAGUAACACGUAUCCAACCUGCCGAUUACUCAGGGAUAGCCUUUCGAAAGAAAGAUUAAUACCUGAUGGCAUAUUUGAGCUGCAUGGUUUGAAUAUUAAAGAUUCAUCGGUAAUCGAUGGGGAUGCGUUCCAUUAGGCAGUUGGCGGGGUAACGGCCCACCAAACCGACGAUGGAUAGGGGUUCUGAGAGGAAGGUCCCCCACAUUGGAACUGAGACACGGUCCAAACUCCUACGGGAGGCAGCAGUGAGGAAUAUUGGUCAAUGGACGAGAGUCUGAACCAGCCAAGUAGCGUGAAGGAUGACUGCCCUAUGGGUUGUAAACUUCUUUUAUACGGGAAUAACGGCAGCUACGUGUAGCUGCGUGCAUGUACCGUAUGAAUAAGCAUCGGCUAACUCCGUGCCAGCAGCCGCGGUAAUACGGAGGAUGCGAGCGUUAUCCGGAUUUAUUGGGUUUAAAGGGAGCGUAGACGGGUUGUUAAGUCAGUUGUGAAAGUUUGCGGCUCAACCGUAAAAUUGCAGUUGAUACUGGCGACCUAGAGUGCGGCAGAGGAAGGCGGAAUUCGUGGUGUAGCGGUGAAAUGCUUAGAUAUCACGAAGAACUCCGAUUG
rnacentral:rRNA from 1 species